CGCGCUUUUAUUUUGACACGCGCCCAUCCCCCCACAUCUCACGGUCUGACUGGAGUCGAGUUUCACAGAGCAACGCAACAGGAGGAUGACACAACAGUUAUAAGAGCAUUAACAGGUAAACACUGGAAAAUCCUUCCUUCAUCACCUUUAAAGCAUUUUUAAACUUUAAAAAUGUGUUGUUUGUCGUGACUCUUCAUUUUAAUACUGAUUCGGUUACGGUAAUUUGUGUAAAGUUGUAUACGACGUGACAACGCGACAUUGACACAGCACUAUUGCCUCAUUUUAAUAGACUCAUUUUAAUGAGCUGGUUAAUGUUCAUUAAGUACACCACAGUUCUGUAAGUGGAGAAAUAAUUCAUAUUUGUGUGUUUUUCUCUCAGUAAGGACUAACAUUAACUGACUGUCUGUCCUCAACCAAAGUCAUUCAAGACCUGUAAAAGCACAAACGUUUCCCGCGCAAGUUUGAAUCUCUCUCAGUCAGGGGAGAUUGACUGACUGACUGUCUACACGCCACCAAACAGUAAUUUAUACAGAAACCUUUUAAAGUAAGGACUAACAUUAACUGACUGUCUGUCUGUCUGUCUGUUCUCAAGCAAAGUCAUUAAAGACCUGUUAAAGCACAAACGUUUCCCGCGCAAGUUUGAAUCUCUCUCAGUCAGGGGAGAUUGACUGACUGACUGACUGUCUACACGCCACCAAACAGUAAUUUAUACAGAAACCUUUUAAAGUAAGGACUAAGGUUAACUGACUGUCUGUCUGUCUGUCUGUCGGUUCUCAACCAAAGUCAUUAAAGACCUGUUAAAGUAAGGACUAACGUUAACUGACUGUCUGUCUGUCUGCUCUCAACCAAACAGUCAUUCAAGACCUUUCAAAGUUUAGCACAAAAGUUUCCAGCACAAGUUUGGAUCUUUACCAUUGAGGGUGGCUGACUGUUCUCGACCAACCAUCAUUCACACGCAAAAACUUUAAAGAUAAGUAUGAACGUGCCCAGAGCAGUUUUCGAUCUUUACCAUUAAGGAGGCUGACUGACUAUCCUCUACCACCCGUCAUUAACACAACAAAAACUAAAGAAAUGUUACUCCAUAUGGACCUAUUCAUUUACUCAUUAUGCUGUGAGUACACCACAGUUUUAUCAGUGAAAAAAUUUAUAUUUGUGUGUUUUCUCACUGCUUGGCAAGGACAGAUGUGGCCCUGUUAAAAAUGUUUAAAUGUUGUUUGGUUAAGGAACCGCACACUGAUUUUGUUUUAAAAUAUUCCUGUUUGGACAGUCUGUUAAAGUCAAAGGAAUACUUGAUAUAUUUCUAAGUAAAGUGUAAAUGAAAAAAUUAGUUUUUAAUGUUGUGACUGAACACAAUGUUGUGAAUGAUUUGGACUGAACAGCACACUUCUGUUUUAUAUCUGAACCUUUUGUAAAAUAAAUGAUUGUUCAUUAAACUCACUGUGUAUUUUAUCUUUUCUGUUAUCAUUUUUUUAUACUAAUGUUUAAAAUUUACCUUUACUCUAAACAAUUGGCUAAACCAACACAAAUACACUGAGUCAUAUGCACUUAUAAUUUAAAGUUUACAAUAUUUAGAUUGAGAUAUAUGUAUAAGUUUUAAAACCAUGAGUGUACCCUGUCAAAGCCAUUUUUGUACCCUUUUUGAAGGGUCCAUAUUUGUACUGUUAAAUAAAGGUACAAAAUUGUCACUAGAGGUACAAAACUGGUCCCUUAAGGUACAAAUCACAAGGGUACAAUUUUGUACCCUCUGCCAAGGGUACAAAAACUGUACCCUUGAGGGUACAGCCCCAGUGACAAGCCAUUGUACCCCUAAA